CCAUGCUCGGUCACUCUGCGCCAGAGCUUUGGCCAUGGUUUCAAACGCCUUGUGAAGCGGUGAGAUGAGUUUUCUUCCGUCAAAUGCUUCAUUUUGGUUCCCCUUGCAUCAAGGGUAGGAAAGGCUGCGAAGUAUAAACGAACGAAAAAAGAAAAAAAAAAAUCCCACUCAAGCUGCUGACACAACAUCAUUGCAUCGUGAAUGGUCGCCUCGGUAGAGUGUUUUAUUUUGGCGUAAAAUUGAUAUCCGACUAUUUUUAACAUAAAUGACAGUGUGCGAUCAUCGAGCAGGCAAAACUUUCGUAGCAAGUAAACAAAAGCGCCACAUCUUGCUGGAGAUUGGCGAUAGGCACCGGCGUGAAGGAAGGAUACCGUGAGCGAUUGAUGCACUUUUGGGCGCAUUCCGUGACCCCGAGCAACGUAAGCCGCAGAAAGGAUAUAUUGUUGGCGGUACGCGUACCGGGAAGCACAACGAUCGAGCCGACGACCUGCCUUGUGCGCGAAGAUGAGAAAUGCCACCGCACUGCCCACUAUGGUUCCCGCCAGUGCAGCGUCGGUAUCGUCGCGCAACGCCACCAAUAAACGCCAGCAGCAGCUGUACAGCCCGGGCAGUGGGCCGCUGCGCAAGACGGAGCUAACUUCCAGCAACCGAUCGCUCAACAAUCAGCCCCCGCAAACAGACGAACCGUCCCGGCAGCGUUGGGGGAACGGCGGAGCAGACGCGCUGGCGGCUGGUGGAGGAUCGAUUCGGCACGGUGGCUCCGGCACGGACAGCAACGUGCCCGGGUGUCCACCGGCGUCGGGCGGUUGGCGCACCGAGGGACACUCGAACCAGCAGGCCAACAGCGGCUCCUCGAUGGGCGGCGAGGAGCUGGAACCGAGGGGCUUUGCCGCGCCCGCACCAAUCAAUCGCAUGCAGCGCGACACGCGCAGUGUGGAGCCGCGGUACGUGGGCGGCUCGAAGAAACCGUCUAUGCCGUCGCUCUCGCACCUGGAGAAUCUGCCGCCCCGGCUGCAGAAGAAAACGCUCCAGGAUCUGGGCCUGCCGCCGAACUAUCUCGAGAUAAUGCGGGCGGAGCAGCAGGCGAUGUCGCAAACGCUGCCGAAUCGCAGCGGCUCGCGGCACAACCGCGGCCGGCCACGGGGGUACGCGGGUAGCUCGGGCGGUGGUGGAGGUGGCAGCAGCGGUGCCUAUUACACGAACGCUUCGUACGGUGCUUCCGGCCGUACGAUGCAGGGGGGCAAUAGGCCGGCAAGCGAUGACGAUUACUCGCGGCCCCGCAGCCGGUCGUCGGAGAUUGUGUGCGGGCCGGAGGGAAGCUACGCGCCUCGCAGGGGGCCGUCGAAUCGGGACCGCAGGAUGGAACCGGGACCGGGCAGUCGCAACUCGAGCUGUGACCGCAAAGAGCUGCCCAGGGGCACCCCGUACGCUAAUGAUGCAAGCAGAAGGAGUGGUGGUGGUGUUGGUGGCCGUUUCAGGCAGUAUUCGACCGACAGCAAUCGCAUGCUGCACGAUGGCCUGGGUGGUGAGGUACCGAGCGGUUCGGGUUACGGUUCGAUUCCGCCGUAUAAGUCGAGCAGUCGGCGCGAAUCCUAUAACUGGGCAAAUGAUUAUGAUGGUAGCACGGAACAAAAUGUAGCAGCAGAUCAUUCGAGAUGGCACGGGAAUGUUGAUAUGGAAACAGUGCCACCAGCAGUGCCGAUGGGCAACAACAACCGCAAUAGACAAAGAAAUCGAAGUACUUCCCGCUCAAGAAACGAUUAUUACGAUGAAAUUAAAAUGUCCUACCAGCAACGCGUCGGUAACCGCAGCCGACGCAACUCGCAAUCAUCCAAUGUAAGCCGCGAGAACAGCUCCGAGCGCCCCUACUCGCGUUCCGGUGCCAAUCGUCGCGGACCCUAUCGAGAUGCAAGCACCGACCGGGCCUAUGAGUCGGGUGGCCGCUUUCAAAAGCAUGCCCGCGACCGCUACAACAAUCGUAGCCGGGAUAACAGCAUGAACCGACCGGUGGGUGAUAUACCGUACGACACGGACGGUAGCGGCUGGCGCAACACAGCAGUAGCCCCGGCGGAUGGUGCCGCUCCGCUGAACGACCAUACCGAGCGAGCGAUUGCCGAGAUGACGAAACAGUUUGAAAGCUCGAUCGGGAUACAGAAGGGCCCGGGCGUGUUAGUUAUCCCGUCGGGAUUGUCACCGAACAGUGCGAGCUCGACAGUCGCCGCAGCCGAGUGUGGUGGCGGGCGCGAAACGAAGCUGCUGUUCGAUCCUAAAAACCCGUCGCAGCCGAUCGUCGUUACGCGGACACAGUCAAGGGCAAGCAAGCAGCGCGAUGCGCGCGACAGCUUGAGACGGGACGAAGGUCGAGACGGUGGCAGACAUCAGCUGGCGGGCGGACCGGCCUGGUACAAUCCGGACGGGCAGCAAGCGAAACUGUUGCGCCAGAAGGAGCUGAUCUACAAGGUGGUAGAAGCGGACGCACAGCUGCAGGAGCUCAUGGAGAGUGGCAAUCUGUAUGCUGAAUGGGCCCGGUACGAGCAGAUCCGCCGUGGGCUGCAGGAUUUGCUGGAAACGUUCCUGGUGCGGGAGAUGCGCUUUGCCCAGGACGUGAAUUUGGAGCACCACUUCUGGAAAAUGCUGUUCUACGGCAUCAUCGAGCAGCUGCGCAAGCAGCUGUCGGAAGCGCAGGACGAGCAGUGGAAACAGUACUUGCAGGAGCGUGCGCUCGAGGUGGUGGAAAGUGGUACCGCUUACUUCGAGCAGCUGCUGACGCUGCUCGAGCGCGAGCACCGGUUCAGUCUGGAGCAGUUUAUCGGUGCGAAUGCGGCGACGAGCACGAAAGGGUUGCGCUACGCGCUGGCGCUUGUGUCGUCCCAGAAAAUAUUCCUGUUUUUGGGCGAUCUUGCCAGGUACCGCGAACAGAUCACCGGUGGCCACAACUUCCGCAAAGCCAAACAGUGGUACGUGAAAGCGCAACAGAUUCUGCCUAAGAAUGGAAGGCCGUACAAUCAGCUUGCACUGCUGUCGGUGUAUGCGAAACGUAAAAUCGACGCAGUUUAUUUCUACAUGCGUAGCCUGAUGUCGUCCAACCCGUUCGAAUCAGCAAGGGAGAGUCUGAUGGACUUGUUCAACGAAACGAAGAAAAAGUUUGAGAACAAUCAGCGAAAGCGCGAAGACAAACUGCGUGCAAGGAGAAAGGAAAAGGAGCAGCGUUUCGAUGGCAACCUGCGGCGUGAAAUCUGGAUACAUCCGGAGGGUGGAUCGCGUGUGCACCGGACUGGACCACUGUAUCCCAUCGCAGCCGGCCAUUCGUCCGAUACGAGCGACGAAGAGGAGCUGCAGACGCUCGGCUCGAUCGAGCUGAACAAACGGUUUAUCAUAAGCUUUUUGCAUGUGCUCGGUAAAUUGAUCACUAAGACGGGCAUGGAAUCGUUUACCCAAUGUGCGCAGCAGAUGCUGCGCGAGUUUCGCGUGUUGGUGCAGGUCACACCCAUCGCUGUGACCAGCUAUCGUUUGCUACAGCUAAUGUCGCUGAACAUGUUUGCGAUCGAGAUGACGAAACUGAAAGACACGUCCACCACUGGCCAGGAAACCCGAUCCGAGCUGCAGGAGUGUGCGCUCUCGUCCGGUCUGCUCAUGUUUGGAAUUUUGCUCGAGCGGUUUAUACGGCUCAUCCAAGAUGCGCUGGACGCGAGCGAGGGCAGCGCGAAGGACCCAGACAAUGGCGACUAUGGUGCGAGUGAAACACCGAAACUAAUCUUACCCGAAGAUGCCAAAGUGAUACUGCCAGCCAUUAAGGUCUGGUGUGAUUGGAUGAUGUCGAACACAGACACGUGGAACCCGCCGCCCUGCUGCGCUGACUACAAGAUAGGAAAAUCUAACGCCCAUGAUCCGUGGUCUGAGCUGGCGGUGCUAAUGAACAUACUGAAGCGCUUGGAUACAAACCGCAGCAUACUGUCGGUGGAGCAGAAUGAAGCAGGAUAUGAAAAUGUACGCCUGCCCGAGGAUAUCACCCUUGCCGGGUUCACACCGCUAAUGUACUACGAUCCCGAGCCCAUUUUUGUGCAUCCGGAAUGUGACAUGGAGGAGGCACAGAAUGUGCUGCGCAUCCAGAAGCUGCUCUACUUCGGCACGGAUCGUUUGUGUCACUGUGAGCCGCCAGUGCUGCGCCGGGAGCAGGGAGCGCCGCGUGGGAUGGCCGAAGGUCGCGCCCAGUUUUACAGCGUCGUGCAAAACCGAACGGCAAGGCUGAGCGAUAUGGACAUCCUGCUGGAAAGCUACAGCGACGAUGAGGAGCUAGAGCCGGGCACGGACGGUGUCAGGGCGAGCGGCGGCGAUCUGCCCAAGAGCGUGGAGCAGCACCAGGGCAGUGGUGCCGUGGGCGACCCCUCGACACCUUCGGCCGAUAGUGGUGUGCUCAGCGGUAGCAGCAGCAGCAGCAUCAGCAACGGCCCGAGCAGCCUCGAAACGCGCAAGCUGCUGCGGCGCAAGGACGAGCUGGAGCGCAAGCAGCGCAUGCAGGAGAAGCACAGCCAGCGGCUGCAGGACAUACUUUCGCAAAGCACGAUCGCAGUCAGCAUCGAGGUGCACCCUCGCCUUCUGGUAACGGACACCAACUGCUUCGUCGACUAUCUGGGGGCGAUCGAGCUGAUCGCGAAGGCCCAUCCACUGUAUCAGCUAAUGGUACCCAUCAUUGUGAUUAACGAACUCGAGGGAUUGUCGAAGGGGCUGCGCAACCAGUCGCCGAAGCAGCAGACAGCAUCCACGGCAGCGGUGGCUGAAAUUCUGGUGCCGGUGCAGAAACAGCUCGCCCUGCCAACGGCACCGGCCACUGUCGUGUCCAUUGCACCGGCUAACAGCAGCAGCACCAGUGCCGCCGGUCUUCAUCAGCAGCACGCGGCCAAGGUUGCCGACGCAUCGAAGAAAGCAUUGCAGUUCAUCAAGUCGCGCAAUCCCGCCCUGAAAUGUGUGACGACCAAGGGUUCGAUACUGAAAACGUCGACCUUCACCGUAGAGGAUGACGUCGGUGACCUCAAGUCGAACGACGAUCGAAUACUCGAGACUGCCUUAAACCUCUGCCGCAACCACAUCGAGGAGACGCGCGCCGGCACCCGGUACCUAACGAUGGACGUCGUGCUGCUGACGACGGAUCGCAACUUGCGGGUAAAAGCCAUAUCAAACGAUCUGCCCGUUAGAGAGAUACCGGACUUUAUCAAGUGGGCAGGACUAAGCGCCUAGCGAACAGUGCGCACCAGCUGGGUGGCGGCGCUGCGCUGGCAAGCACGGUCAUAUAGUUAGACAAAUAGGCUCUGUUGGCAGAUAGCGCACAGCAGAAGAAAAGCGGGAAUUGAUUGUUUGAGGCUGUUAAAUCCGUUUUAGUGAACGUUACGUUUUACGCACGAUCUAUAUCGUUUUGGUGGCGCGCGCGCGUACUGAAAGUGAUUUUUUCGCGUUAGUAAGGACGAGCGGCGCUGCACGCGCACGCGAAUUACCAGGACCGUAUUGCGACUUUGUGAAAGAUGGCUCCAUUUGACACUUACGAUCGAUUGUGUGUGUUUUUUUUUUCGGGCGGCGUCACUAGAUAGUUGUAAACCUGCAAAGGGAAACGCAGGAGCCGUGCUAAUGUUAACAUUGUCAAUGCGCGGGGGACGUAAACGCUUCGCUUAAUUUUACCUAACAGUCAUUGGGUCGCGCCCCUAGCAAAAAAGUCUUUUUCCUGAUUUAGUACAUACUGACAGUCUGUUUGCAUGUGUGUGUCCGUGUAAAGUCGGCGACAAAAGACGCGAAUGCUCAAUUUAUAGUUACACGCGCUAGGAUGGAACACAUCUCGCGCACACACGGAAAACGCUAACCUGCUCCAAUAGACUGAUGGGGAAAAAGGAAGAAAAAAAACGUGACACCGGAGCAAGGGCGAUUAGUAGCGGCUGUUUAAGUAACAGGUCUGUAAGCGAUAGUGGAACGUCUUUUUUUCAAAUUCAAUAAAAUGUAUUAUGAUUUUAUAGAA